rnacentral:rRNA from 1 species
UACGAAGGUCCCAAGCGUUAUCCGGAUUUAUUGGGUUUAAAGGGUGCGUAGGCGGGCUAUUAAGUCAGUGGUGAAAGCCCCAAGCUUAACUUGGGAACUGCCAUUGAUACUGAUGGUCUUGAGUACAUUUGAGGUGGGCGGAAUGUGUCAUGUAGCGGUGAAAUGCUUAGAUAUGACACAGAACACCGAUUGCAAAGGCAGCUCACUAAACUGUAACUGACGCUGAGGCACGAAAGCGUGGGGAGCAAACAGG